rnacentral:rRNA from 1 species
GACGAACGCUGGCGGCGUGCUUAACACAUGCAAGUCGAACGGAAAGGCCUGCUUUUGUGGGGUGCUCGAGUGGCGAACGGGUGAGUAACACGUGAGUAACCUGCCCUUGACUUUGGGAUAACUUCAGGAAACUGGGGCUAAUACCGGAUAGGAGCUCCUGCUGCAUGGUGGGGGUUGGAAAGUUUCGGCGGUUGGGGAUGGACUCGCGGCUUAUCAGCUUGUUGGUGGGGUAGUGGCUUACCAAGGCUUUGACGGGUAGCCGGCCUGAGAGGGUGACCGGCCACAUUGGGACUGAGAUACGGCCCGGACUCCUACGGGAGGCAGCAGUGGGGAAUAUUGCACAAUGGGCGGAAGCCUGAUGCAGCAACGCCGCGUGCGGGAUGACGGCCUUCGGGUUGUAAACCGCUUUCGCCUGUGACGAAGCGUGAGUGACGGUAAUGGGUAAAGAAGCACCGGCUAACUACGUG